AACAGUCAAAGGCAAACUUGCUGAAAAGCAAGGACGCAAAGUCAACAGAUCUAAGAUUGUGUAAAAGAGAAUAAAUACUUUUACGAAUUAAGAUGGCUGGGCUGCCUGA
rnacentral:ncRNA from 1 species